CUUUUUAACACCGUGGAAUAGAAAGUGACGGACACCGUUUUAUCACGCUGUCACGUAGACAAGAACCACCAUCAUAUCCGUUCUGUGCCCUCUGGGGGCCUAGCCAAAACACAUUUCGAAAAAAGAUAUCGCUAACGAAUCGAUAAAAAAUGUAUGGGAAUGACAGGUACCGUAGAUGAGUCUGUCGAAAAAUAUUAACGAAUACAAAAAUGUUAGCCAAGUUGCAAUGUUGUAACGAAACGCAAAACUUUCGUUACCGGGAUUCGCCAUCUGUCAUACAUUGCCUAGCCAAGUGACACUUUUGACAAGCGAAAUCAAAUCGUUAUCGCCUCCUAGGUGUAGCUACGUAGCGCGAGCUAUCCCCUUGCAGAUAACUUAUCGAAGCACAAGAAAAUACCGAAUAAUAGUGUUUGUAAAUUAGAAUUUGUAGUAAAAAGCAUACUUCAACAUCAUUGUGGGCGGCGAACAACGCGGAAGUGUCGCUUAGACGCAGGCGCCGUCUGAAAAAUCGCCUCUAUUGAAACUGCUUAGGAAAGGACUGCUACGAUCAAAGGAUUGUGGGCCGUACGCAGCAUUUCACCCAAAGAAUCCAAUGUGACCGAGGCGCUGAAUAUCUACCUAUCUAUAGUGACAGUGUCAUGGAAAAAUGGAUUAUGCACCCACAAAUGCAACACGUAACAACGUCCCUACAAAGGUGACUUGGAUAUUCAUUGCAGCCUCCAAAGCCAGGGUCAAGGGAAGAAACUAUGUCACAUGUACAACCACAAAAAUAUAUUGAGUGUUGUUUUACUGUUUUAAAACACUGUACAUAAUAUAUGUACAAACAAGAAUGCUUGGCUACUGAUUUCAUGCUGCCGGCAAAAAAUACCUGCUGCAUCUUUCAUUAACAGAUUUUCAAUAAAAUAAAUUAACUUUUUAACCCAAUCAUUGUUUCAUUUAUUUAUGGUGGUUACCACCUUAACUUUUGGUAUGCUUAGGAGCAGAUCUGCUCCCAUGUAUAUACUUACCUAUAUUCAACUUUAA